rnacentral:ncRNA from 1 species
GGCCAUGCACGCGGGAGCUCGGGUUUGACCGGGCUGAGAGGGUAACUAGACGGUUACCGACCGCUGAACCUGACCUGGGUAAUGCCAGCGCAGGGAGAUGCCGCCUGCUUCAUC